rnacentral:lncRNA from 1 species
CCACUCUCUCUCUCCCCCCUCUUUCAAUAACCUCUCUCUCUUCCUCACCUCGCUCUCUUCUCUCUACCCCACCCUCUCUCUCUUCCCCAUCUCUCCCCACCCCUGUCGCUCUCUCCCCUCUCUCUCUCCCCCUUUGAACCAAGGCUAUGAGAGAGAUUUUGGCAACAAGACCAACCUUGUGACUGCCAAUCCCAGCAUCCUUAAUCUCUUAAACGUGUACGGCGAUGCUCCUCCUCCCCGCAUUCUCCUACCAGCGCAACAUGCCAUCUCUGUGCUUUCAGUUUACACUGUCCAGGAGAACCACGACCUAGUCCGGCCUGUGUUCCUGAACCCGGAAUACCUGCAGAGGCUGCCAACAUUUUGGAAAGCCAAGUGCCUGAAGGAGGUCUCCUUUCUCCCUCUGGCCCUGUCCCCAUCUCCAUCCGAAGGCACCAUGUGAGCUGGUCCCUAUCCUGUCGUGAGAUGAGGACCUGGUUCUCUAUAGCCUAGGUCCUGACCUGGCCUCACCAGCACCUUUUGCUUCCUGAUGAAGUUAUGUCUGUGUCAGAGCCAUAUGUGUCUCUAUAUUUGGCCUGGUAUGUGUUCAUACAAUUCCAGUUGUUGGCAUGUACUCUGCAUUGCAAAGGUAAGCAUCUCAGAG